GAUGAACGCUAGCUACAGGCUUAACACGUGCAAGUCGCGGGGCAGCAUGGGGGUUGCUUGCAAUCCCCGAUGGCGACCGGCGCACGGGUGAGUAACGCGUAUCCAACCUGCCCUUCACCACGGGAUAACCCGGCGAAAGUCGGACUAAUACCGUAUGUUGUCCAUUGACGGCAUCCGAUUUGGACGAAAGGCUUGGCGGUGAGGGAUGGGGAUGCGUCCGAUUAGCCAGACGGCGGGGUAACGGCCCACCGUGGCUACGAUCGGUAGGGGUUCUGAGAGGAAGGUCCCCCACACUGGAACUGAGACACGGUCCAGACUCCUACGGGAGGAAGCAGUGAGGAAUAUUGGGCAAUGGGCGUAAGCCUGAACCAGCCAAGUAGCGUGCAGGAUGACGGCCCUAUGGGUUGUAAACUGCUUUUAUGCGGGGAUAAAGUGGCCCACGUGUGGGCUUUUGCAGGUACCGCAUGAAUAAGGACCGGCUAAUUCCGUG
rnacentral:rRNA from 1 species